GACGAACGCUGGCGGCGUGCUUAACACAUGCAAGUCGAACGGAAAGGCCCUGCUUUUGUGGGGUGCUCGAGUGGCGAACGGGUAAGUAACACGUGAGUAACCUGCCCUUGACUUUGGGAUAACUUCAGGAAACUGGGGCUAAUACCGGAUAGGAGCUCCUGCUGCAUGGUGGGGGUAGGAAAGUUUCGGCGGUUGGGGAUGGACUCGCGGCUUAUCAGCUUGUUGGUGGGGUAGUGGCUUACCAAGGCGUUGACGGGUAGCCGGCCGGAGGGGGUGACCGGCCACAUUGGGACUGAGAUACGGCCCAGACCCCUACGGGAGGCAGCAGUGGGGAAUUUUGCACAAUGGGCGGAAGCCUGAUGCAGCAACGCCGCGUGCGGGAUGACGGGCUUCGGGUUGUAAACCGCUUUCGCCUGUGACGAAGCGUGAGUGACGGUAAUGGGUAAAGAAGCACCGGCUAACUACGUG
rnacentral:rRNA from 1 species